AACCCGSSUGKRRAMUAAGCAUAUCAAUAAGCGGAGGAAAAGAAACUAACAAGGAUUCCCCUAGUAACUGCGAGUGAAGCGGGAAAAGCUCAAAUUUAAAAUCUGGCAGCUUUGGCUGUCCGAGUUGUAGUCUGGAGAAGUGCUUUCCGCGCUGGACCGUGUACAAGUCUCUUGGAACAGAGCGUCAUAGAGGGUGAGAAUCCCGUCUUUGACACGGACUACCAGUGCUUUGUGAUGCGCUCUCAAAGAGUCGAGUUGUUUGGGAAUGCAGCUCAAAAUGGGUGGUGAAUUCCAUCUAAAGCUAAAUAUUGGCGAGAGACCGAUAGCGAACAAGUACCGUGAGGGAAAGAUGAAAAGCACUUUGGAAAGAGAGUUAAACAGUACGUGAAAUUGCUGAAAGGGAAACGCUUGAAGUCAGUCGCGUUGUCCAGAACUCAGCCAUGCUUUUGCUUGGUGCAUUUUCUGGAUAACGGGCCAGCAUCGAUUUUGACCGUCGGAAAAGGGCUAGAGUAAUGUGGCACCUUCGGGUGUGUUAUAGACUUUAGUCGCAUACGGCGGUUGGGAUCGAGGACCGCAGCGCGCCGUAAGGCAGGGGUUUACCCACUUUCGCGCUUAGGAUGCUGGCAUAAUGGCUUUAAACGACCCGUCUUGAAACACGGACCAAGGAGUCUAACAUGCCUGCGAGUGUUUGGGUGGUAAACCCGAGCGCGUAAUGAAAGUGAAAGUUGAGACCUCUGUCGUGGAGGGCAUCGACGCCCGGACCUGACGUUCUCUGAAGGAUCCGCGGUAGAGCAUGUAUGUUGGGACCCGAAAGAUGGUGAACUAUGCCUGAAUAGGGUGAAGCCAGAGGAAACUCUGGUGGAGGCUCGUAGCGAUUCUGACGUGCAAAUCGAUCGUCAAAUUUGGGUAUAGGGGCGAAAGACUAAUCGAACCAUUCUAGUAGCUGGUUCCUGCCGAAGUUUYYCCCYYCARGRAAA
rnacentral:rRNA from 1 species